AUUUAUCUUCAACAUCCUCUAAUAAAUAAUGUUCCAUUUAAUUUCAUCAAUUCUUUCAAGUUAACUCUGGAUCUAGCUCAUUAUUAUUUAUUCUUUGAUUCCAGGAUUAUAAUGCAAAGCUCUCUGAUUUUGGCUUGGCAAAAGAUGGUCCGGAAGGAGAUGACACACAUGUUUCAACUAGAGUUAUGGGCACUCAAGGUUAUGCUGCCCCUGAAUAUAUCAUGACAGGUAAAUUAUUCACCAAUUCUAAUUAAUAACUCCAUUAUGUCUACACGAAUUUCUCUAUGUUCAUUGCACGAUUUCACAGUACUAGUUAUGUAUUGACACUUGACAUGUCAAACACAAGCUGGCUGGCGUGUCUGUGUCUGUGCUGUGUCAGAUGUUUAUGUAUGUUUCUUGUUUCAUAUAGUUAAUAAUAGUUCAUAGCAUAACCUGAAUUUAAUUUUGAUAUACAGGACAUUUGACAGCAAU
rnacentral:lncRNA from 1 species